rnacentral:rRNA from 1 species
CCUACGGGAGGCUGCAGUCGAGACUCAUUCACACUGGGGGAAACCCUGAUGGUGCGACGCCGCGUGGGGGCAUGAAGGUCUUCGGAUUGUAAACCCCUGUCAUGUGGGCGCAAAUUAAAAAGAUAGUACCACAAGAGGAAGAGACGGCUAACUCUGUGCCAGCAGCCGCGGUAAUACAGAGGUCUCAAGCGUUGUUCGGAAUCACUGGGCGUAAAGCGUGCGUAGGCUGUUUCGUAAGUCGUGUGUGAAAGGCGCGGGCUCAACCCGCGGACGGCACAUGAUACUGCGAGACUAGAGUAAUGGAGGGGGAACCGGAAUUCUCGGUGGAGCAGUGAAAUGCGGAGAUAUCGAGAGGAACACUCGUGGCGAAGGCGGGUUCCUGGACAUUAACUGACGCUGAGGCACGAAGGCCAGGGGAGCGAAAGGGAUUAGAUACCCGAGUAGUC